ACUCCUACGGGAGGCAGCAGUGGGGAAUAUUGGACAAUGGGCGAAAGCCUGAUCCAGCCAUGCCGCGUGUGUGAAGAAGGUCUUCGGAUUGUAAAGCACUUUAAGUUGGGAGGAAGGGCAGUAAAUUAAUACUUUGCUGUUUUGACGUUACCGACAGAAUAAGCACCGGCUAACUCUGUGCCAGCAGCCGCGGUAAUACAGAGGGUGCAAGCGUUAAUCGGAAUUACUGGGCGUAAAGCGCGCGUAGGUGGUUAGUUAAGUUGGAUGUGAAAUCCCCCGGGCUCAACCUGGGAACUGCAUUCAAAACUGACUGACUAGAGUAUGGUAGAGGUGGUGGAAUUUCCUGUGUAGCGGUGAAAUGCGUAGAUAUAGGAAGGAACACCAGUGGCGAAGGCGACACCUGGACUGAUACUGACACUGAGGUGCGAAAGCGUGGGAGCAAACAGGAUUAGAUACCCCUGGUAGCGACUGA
rnacentral:rRNA from 1 species